rnacentral:rRNA from 1 species
AACGCUAGCUACAGGCUUAACACAUGCAAGUCGAGGGGCAGCAUUUCAUUUUGCUUGCAAAGUGAAGAUGGCGACCGGCGCACGGGUGAGUAACACGUAUCCAACCUGCCGAUAACUCGGGGAUAGCCUUUCGAAAGAAAGAUUAAUAUCCGAUGGUAUAUCAAUCCCGCAUGAGAUUGAUAUUAAAGAAUUUCGGUUAUCGAUGGGGAUGCGUUCCAUUAGUUUGUUGGCGGGGUAACGGCCCACCAAGACUACGAUGGAUAGGGGUUCUGAGAGGAAGGUCCCCCACAUUGGAACUGAGACACGGUCCAAACUCCUACGGGAGGCAGCAGUGAGGAAUAUUGGUCAAUGGACGUAAGUCUGAACCAGCCAAGUAGCGUGAAGGAUGACUGCCCUAUGGGUUGUAAACUUCUUUUAUAUGGGAAUAAAGUAUUCCACGUGUGGGAUUUUGUAUGUACCAUAUGAAUAAGGAUCGGCUAACUCCGUGCCAGCAGCCGCGGUAAUACGGAGGAUCCGAGCGUUAUCCGGAUUUAUUGGGUUUAAAGGGAGCGUAGGUGGAUUGUUAAGUCAGUUGUGAAAGUUUGCGGCUCAACCGUAAAAUUGCAGUUGAAACUGGCAGUCUUGAGUACAGUAGAGGUGGGCGGAAUUCGUGGUGUAGCGGUGAAAUGCUUAGAUAUCACGAAGAACUCCGAUUG